GGGCCCGCACAAGCGGCGGAGCAUGCGGAUUAAUUCGAUGCAACGCGAAGAACCUUACCUGGGUUUGACAUGGGCGCUAAAGCCGCAGAGAUGUGGUGUCCUUCGGGGGCGUUCACAGGUGGUGCAUGGCUGUCGUCAGCUCGUGUCGUGAGAUGUUGGGUUAAGUCCCGCAACGAGCGCAACCCUCGUUCCAUGUUGCCAGCGGGUUAUGCCGGGGACUCAUGGGAGACUGCCGGGGUCAACUCGGAGGAAGGUGGGGAUGACGUCAAGUCAUCAUGCCCCUUAUGUCCAGGGCUUCACGCAUGCUACAAUGGCCGGUACAAAGGGCUGCGAUACCGCGAGGUGGAGCGAAUCCCAAAAAGCCGGUCUCAGUUCGGAUCGGGGUCUGCAACUCGACCCCGUGAAGUCGGAGUCGCUAGUAAUCGCAGAUCAGCAAUGCUGCGGUGAAUACGUUCCCGGGCCUU
rnacentral:rRNA from 1 species